GUUUGAUCGUGAACCUACCUUUUGCAGUGACGACGCUUCUCCCACGGUACUCGGGCCCCGUCCUGAAACCUGUGAUUCAAGUAGAGUGAAUAGAAAGAGUGAAAACAGACGGUGAAGGCUCCAAGUUCCGCUUCAACUUCUUCCGGGGAUUUUGGCGAAGGAAACAAUACUCCUUCGACAACAAAGUGUAGCUUGACACGUGAUGUAGCUGCAACGUUACCUUCUCCCAGACUCCUGAAGUGUAAUCUGCCAUAGAACAGCCAAAUACUCAUCAAAAUGGCCACUCGGACAGGUUUAGCUAGUUGUUUAAGGUGUAUAGUUGGUAACCUCUCAUAGCGGGGUCAGCGGUGUAUAGGGUUUGGUUUGACAUCUUUGUCUAAGGCUGACAAUGCAGUUGCAGAUCGCCAGGUAUAAUAAAAUGUUUGUUGGGGACGCAAGUGUGACUCCUACAAUGUAUAUAGCUAAUAGUAAGUUAUAAUGUACAUUAUAUAUAGGGGACAGUUUUUUUUUAAGUCUAAAAUCCUGUCCAGUAAUUUUUGGGGCGACUGGUCAGUUGAUAAUCCAUCCUCAAAUUACUCACAAAAGUCAAAUUUUCAUGAAGCUAGAUUAAGUAGUAAUUUACAAUCUCAAUUUUCUUUAAUAGCUUAAAUCAUCAAAAAUUUAAAAAACUAGGUUGUAUAGAUAUAUUGCUUGUAAGCUGUGUGUUGUCAGAUUCGGAAAGGUCGCCGGUCAUGUAAGCCUCAUUCAGCGGCUGUGUUUUGCUUCGAUGUCAGCAGCCAUUGUUCCUUUAUAGUGCAGUCUACAUUAAAAUGAAGCCCCCCCCCCCCAUACAGGAAUGCUGUCCAAGACAACAUUUGGUAAUAACAGCCUGUAAUUAUAGUUACAGUCUUCACCCCAUUUUGUCUUGUAGCUAUCGCACGUCUACCGAAAGAAAUUAGAAGUAAAUUUCAGUUCAUUUGUUGACAUACUUAUUGCAAAAUCAAGAAAAUAUGGUUGUAUAUCAAGCACCAACCUUACUGCAAAUGAACUGUAGUUUAUGAAUAAUUUCCCCGGCGAGUGUAGACAUGUGAAUAGGUAACAAGUUCUGGCAAUGGAGACGAUAAAAAAAAAUAACGUCACCCUUAGCCUCAAAAUGCGCCAGGCUCAGGUUAUCUUGGCACACAACUCACAACCAGUCCCCUCCUACACACACGCAAGGCAGUUCCGCUUGGUUGUAUCGACUCGUCAGUCCUCCACAGCAGAUACUGCAGGGGCCUUCGUAACGUAAUUGAUUUGUUCACAUGUCAAAUUUCUGGUUACACAAGGGGUUUGUAUUUUUCGAGUCCAUUUAUCCAAUAUUUGUGGGAUUUAUAGAUGUAUAUUGUAAAUAAAAGUUUUUAUUUAACCAUUUAGCAUUAUAUAUAGUGAAAAGGUUUUAUUACUUGACACAAAACUAACAAUUUUAUUCCACAAUCCGGUGAGCUCAUCGCUACAUGUACAUAUCUUAGUCUUGGUAGCGUGUAAUUGUUUGUGGAUGUGGUAUAAUAUUUGCUAACACGGCCACCUUUAUUUGUAACCAUGAAAAGGUUUUCAUUUGUAACUGUCAGUGUAACAAGAAAACUGUCCUUGAAUGUAAAGCCACAUCUAAUAAUUUUAACCUCGAUGGCAUAAGUAAAAUCUUAGUAUUAAGGUCCGAGACCUCAUCUACCAUGCUUUUUAAGAUCUGAAACCUUAAUUGGCAAUUGCUUAUUGGUGUAGUGCCCGAGCAAUGUUGAAAUUUGCCAUCUAAUAUCACCGCUUGCAACAUCUUGCUCAUGAUGGUACCAAGUCUAAGAAUGGGUGGCAGCAAAGACUUGAUUGUACUUAAAAACUUUCCCGCUAGAUUGUUUUGUAAGUCAAAUUGUCUAAUGCAUUUUUAUUAACCUGUAAAACACUUGGCAAAAUAAACAUUACAAUAAU
rnacentral:lncRNA from 1 species